GGCUGGGCCUGCGGGCCGCGGGACAGGGAGGGCGCGGGGCCGGGCUGCUGGGUCCGAGCUCUGGGCACGAUGUCCUCCCUGACGCCGCCAGGACAGCGCCUGGCCCAGGCCUGGGCCUGGUGAACGCGGGUUUCUUCCUCUGAGGUUCAACACUCCGCACUUGGGUUGGCUCCUUUCAUCCUGAUUGGUUUAUUCGCCACGUGCCAAGCACUGAAGAGGGCGUGCAGGAUGGAUACUUUUGGAGCAAAAAUAGCCCUGCUUCUUUCCUGGGGAGGGAUCGCACUUUCUAGAGGGGCGGUUUUCAAAGUAUGGUCUCAGGACUAGCAGCAUCGAAAAUGCUGGGAACUCGUUAGAAAAGCAAGUUUUCAAUCCUCGCCCCAGAAUCAGAAACUCGGGGUGGAGCCCAGCAAUGUGUGUCCUGACAAGUCCACGCGCGACCCCAGUGCUGGCUAGGGUUGCAAAGCCACUGCUCUACGGAGCGAGCGAGAUCCAUCAUAGUGGGACAAGCGAGAGGAUGAGGCCAUACAGACCAGGGAGAGAGGCUCCUUACACUGACAUUCAAAGUCCUCAAUGACCCGGCCCCAGCCUACCUCUGCAGCCUUAUCUCCCUACAAACCAUCAAAGCAGAACAAAAACCUGUCCCUCCGAUUUAGGUUUUAGCAAACCACAAGAAGCACUUCAUAAACUGGUGACUCAAGUAGAAAAGUACUGUUCCACGCACUUGACACCAAUCCACCCAUUUCACCUGCAUGAUCACCCUGCCUUUGCAUGAGUUGCCGGUGUGGACAGAGCAGGGACACAGUGAGACAGCGGAUUCCAGCUUUGCUCUUACCUAGAACACACUGCCUCUCACCAGGAAUCGUCCUUCCAUUUUAUGCAGUUAUCCCAGACAAUGAUGCACAAGCUUUGGGAAAAAAACCCCACAAGUCCAAAGGUGUACUUCAUAAUAAAGCACCUGGUCUCACCGUUGUUCUACAGCACAGCAGGCCAGGCUGGAUUGGAGAGUCACCUUCAAGAGCCAUGAUCACUUCACGAGGACCUCUGCUGGUGUCUCCUCUGCUGUCCUGGAGGUCCCAGAGGACAGGAGCUGUGUCCUGUGACCUGCUGACCGCAACGCGUAGCACCUGGAAGGUGUUCAUAGGAUAGUUCCUCAAAUGAGUCAAUGGACAGUGAAUGGGGAAUGGAGUGGACGGUGGACGGGAGGGCAAGUUGUUUCCAUGAAAGGAGGAAAUUCCUGUGGAGGGAGUGGACAAGGCAUGCCUGUUUGAGCCACGCGCAGAUGAGAACACCUAUGCUGCAUGAGUCAGAAGCAAGUAUCAGAAGAUGAUGGAUCUCAUUACUUAGAGAAAAGAAGGCCUCAAACCCAUUGCACAUGGGUAGGGAGGAUGAAAAGAAACACCCACAGAGUUAAGCCACAACACUGGGAAAACUG
rnacentral:lncRNA from 10 species